CUUCGAGUGGGCUCUCAACCGCUGCGUGGAAAUCUGCAAUCGGGAUUUCGACGCGGUUGUUGCACAGGAUCUCUUCUCGAUCUGUUUUUGGGACGCGCUAUGAUCGGUUUCAACGUGUGGAGUGGUGCAAAUAAUUCGACGGAGACUUGUUGCUGCAAUUUUUGUGGGUUUGGAUGGCGGGGCUGAAACUGAGCUUCGUCUCAAUUGUUUUCGUUGUCGAUUGGGGUUGUGGUAUUUCAAGAGGAGUGUUGAGCUUUUUUUGAUUGAUUACGUGGGUAAUCGAUGGAUUUCGCCGUUGUGAUGAGCCAUGAGCUUUAGCAUUUAGCUUGGUGCUUCCUAUAACGCUUUUCAAAGUCGAGAGAAUGAACUGCGAGUUUUCGCCUUCGCUGUGUGCAGUGCUGGUUUGAAGAACCCUUUGGCUAGAAUCGAUGAUCAGGGGUUUCUCGCUUGUGCGAAUUUAGCAAGAGGAGCUGUUGGGCGGUGAUGACAACUGAAAUUCAGGUAUGGUGAAGCUUUUGCACGUUUAGGCGCAUGGCUCCUGGUGCGGGGGAUGGAACUCUCACCGCAGAAGAAUUUAAGAUAGCCGCUUUGUACCUUGUAAUGAAAUGGAAGCACUGCUGCCCCGAUUUGCCUGAGUGGACUUGGCAGCCGAUCGAAAAGACAUUGCUAUCAACAACUCCUGGAUAUGCUUGUGGAUAUCUAGUUCUAGAAAACGUUUAUGUGGGUUCUGAUCAAAAGGAUGAUGCGGAAAAUCUUGACGAGCCUGAUGAGGAAGAUUAUGGUGAUGCAGAGGACCAAGCAACCAUGCAUGGAGAUUCAAUGGGAGUUUUCAAUCAACACUUGUACACAUAUCACGUGGUUUACAACGAAUCCUACAGAGUACCGAUGCUCUUUCUUCAGGGUCGUCUGCAAGAUGGAAGACCGCUACGAUGGGACAGCGUCCUUCGAGACCUGCCUGUUGGGUCACAGCUUGUCAGCAACCAGAGUCGAUGGACGUUUUUGACACAAGAGGAUCACCCUCUUAUACACCGGCCAUGGUUUGCAUUACAUCCUUGUGGAACAAGUGAAAUCAUGCGAUUAGUCCUCUCCGACUUCAGCCAGCACCAGGAAAAAGAUAGUGUUCCCAUUUCUAAAGUACUUGAAAAGUCGGGUGAUAUGUCUGGAGUACCUGAGAAGAAAGAUAGCCACAAAUCCUCACCUGGAAGGACAGAGUUCGGUGCUGCUGAGAGAAGCGAUAGGCGGAUAAACUCAGAAGGUCAAGUCUCAUCCUGGAUCGAAAAGUACAUCUUGACAUGGAUGUCCUUUGCUUUCCCAACAGUAGGCCUUGCAAUUCCAUCAUAUGUCUUUGUUGACAGCAAGUGAUCAGAAUCGACAUUUGGGGACUAAAGGCAUCCUCUGGGCAUCUCAGAACAAUAGCAUUGUUUGUAGUGAGAAAGGCUUCAUGUUUUAGGCGAAGUUGUAAUGAUCAACGGCAUUUAAGACAAGGCACUUUCCUAUGCGCAAGCUAGUCCUAACCACUUGAAGGGAUAUCCAUUAUACUUGGAAUAUCAUCAUCAAAUUUCCUCUCUUAACUCUCAUUCAACGUCAGAGACCGUCUUUUCUUCCUUUUCUGUUUAGAAGCAUCACAUUCUUUUCGUAUCACAACUACGGGUUUGAAUCUUUUCUCGACAAUGUGUAUACUUGACUAAUCCGACACACCAUACAAUCAGGUGUGCUGCAAAACAGUGACCCACUUGGGCGAAGUUAAAGAUCAGAAUAGAGCAUUCUCCUCCGACCGUCCGUAAAAAGACACCCUACAAUUUCCACCCAUUUGAGAGCUUGGUCUCGAAUCCCAUUCAAGGAUUUAUUGAACAUAGCGUCAGCGUGAUAAGCCACUUGCUUUAAUUACAACGGUGAAGGCCCCAAUCAGCUGUAGCGAAGCGUUUCGAAACAGUCGACGUCCCCCCUGUUUGCAGAACGUAUAUGGUGUUCCGACAGGAUCAGCGUUGGCUUGGCGUCUCCUCCUGGGAACCGGCUGCAAAGCCGAAAUCCUCCAAGGUGCACACGGCAGUUGAGCGGAUUUUCUUCACAUUUUUUUGGGGGAGGUGUUUGGGGAGGAAUCAAUCUGGAUUAGAAACGUGACCGGACGGAUAGGCUCCUCCAGGGCAUCUCAAGAGCUGUGACCAAGACGUGGAUGCUGCGGUUUCUGCAACGACUCCAUACGUAAAACCUGACACCAGGUCUGGAGCACCAAGAUCAUCACCAACCAGCAACAUGAAUCACAAGUAAGACUAUGCAGCAUGCAAAACACAGUCAGGACUGCUCACCGGAGACACGGUGUGCAUUGAUCCGCCGAGACUCCACCGCUCCACUUUCCUCGAGACCAGUGCAGUCUCUGCAUGAAUCAUGCAAAGCAGUGGAAAAGCAUGUGAUGUGGAAGCAUGAGCGGCGAUCUUGACUCGGAAUAUUGGUAGUGGAGCCGUGUGAUCGGUGAGGUCUGAGGUCAGAUUCUGCUUGCAACUGUGAACCAGUAGCUGCUGGGAAGGGAAAAAAAAAAAAAAAAAAAAAAAAAAAAAAAACGAUGCGCGGGAUCAGCCUUGGAAUUCGAAGGGGGGAGGGGAGUUUUGAAUGGUCUAAAACAAUGGGAGCUGCACGCGAGAUGGAUGGUGAGGAGAAUAACAGCUUCCCAUAUCCUGCAAAAUGUGAAGGUGGCUCCACGUAGAUAAUCCUCGGAGGAUGUGGUUUCGGUCUUUAUAGAGGUGGUGUAUCAAGAGAGUUGGCUGGGCACUCAACAUAUUGUUAGCCACUGUUGCUUACCAAAAUCACGAGGGAUUAACGUCCUCCUCUUCUUCAUGAAGUAAGGAUUCUUCCAAAAAAUAAACACAUCUAUAUAUAUAUAUAUAUAAUUAUUUAUUCAUUUGCAA